GCCUGGCUGGCUCAGUCAGUGGAGCAUGGGACUCGUGAUCUUGGGGCUGUGGGUUCAAACCCCAUGUUGGGUG
rnacentral:tRNA from 1 species